rnacentral:lncRNA from 1 species
AGAAAAAAGACUGAAGACCAGCGGAACCAUAAAGCACACACAACAAGCAAGUUUCCCUGCACUUCCACGGGCCAAGUACGUGCACGCAUGGGCCAGAAGCUGAAAGAUGUCCGUGCACCUCGAAGACGUGCAGAAAAGCAGAUUGGGACCAAAGCACAAUGUCUACCAUGAUACAACCACCCAAGUACCUACAGCCAGUGACAACAGACAAAUACUCAAAUCAAUUAUGUUGUGAUCAGGAGGAUGGAAGUUUUUAGUGUUGAUUUUCUUUUCUUUUUUUACAUCUGGGUAUGCAAAAUGAGGAAAGAUAUAUUAUAAAAUUUGAUUUGA